CAAGCUACUAAGGGUGCACGGUGGAUGCCUUGGCGCCAAAUGCCGAUGAAGGACGCGAAUCACUGCGAUAAGCCUCGGGGAGCCGUGAUUAGGCGCUAUUAUCCGGGGAUGUCCGAAUGGGGAAACCCGCUCAGCGAAGAGCUGAGCACCUCACACUGAAUCCAUAGGUGUGAUGGAGGGAACCGCCCGAACUGAAACAUCUAAGUAGGGCGAGGAAAAGAGAGUAUUCCGAAAGUAGUGGCGAGCGAAAUCGGAACAGCCCAAACCAGCCGGCUUGCCGGUUGGGGUUGUAGGACCUCAAUGUAGGACCGCGUAGCCUAGUCGAACUGUUCAGGAAAGUCAGACCAGAGAGGGUGAUAGUCCCGUAGACGAAAGGUGAAACGGCCGAGAGGGAUCCUGAGUAGCACCGUACACGCUAACACGGUGUGAAUCCGCGGAGCCCACUCCGCAAGGCUAAAUACAUUUGGCGACCGAUAGUGAACAAGUACCGUGAGGGAAAGGUGGGAAGCACCCCCACAAGGGGAGUAGCAGAACCUGAAACCGUGCACUUACAAGCAGUCGGAGGGCUAUACCGUUUUACGGGAUGCCUGACGGCGUGCCUCUUGGAGAAUGAAUCGGCGAGUUAAUGUCUGUCGCAAGGUUAAGGCAGUGACAGCCGGAGCCGUAGGGAAACCGAGUCUGAAUAGGGCGUUCAGUGGCAGGCAUUAGACCCGAAACGGGAUGAGCUACUCAUGGCCAGGGUGAAGCGAGAGUAACGUCUCGUGGAGGCCCGAACUCGUUAGGGCUGCAAAACUAUGAGAUGAGCUGUGAGUAGAGGUGAUAUGCCAAUCGAAUUCCGAGAUAGCUGGUUCUCCCCGAAAUAACUUUAGGGUUAGCCCUGAUCGUUCAGUAGCGGAGGUAGAGCACUGAACGGGCUAGGGGCCGUAAGGCUACCAAACCCGAUCAAACUCCGAAUGCCGUUACUCCACAGGUCAGGAGUCGGGCUACGGGUGAUGAGAUUCGUGGCCGAGAGGGAAACAACCCAGACCGCCAUCUAAGGCCCUCAAGUGCAUGCUCAGUGGGAAACGAUGUGGGACUGUUCAGACAGCCAGGAGGUUAGCUUAGAAGCAGCUAUCCUUUAAAAAGUGCGUAAUAGCUUACUGGUCAAACGGUCCUGCGCGGAAAAUUUAGCGGGGCUAAGCAUGCCGCCGAAGAUACGGAUCCGCAAGGAUAGUAGGGGAGCGUUCUGCGAGCGUCGAAGCCGUACGGUGACGAGCGGUGGAGCGAGCAGAAGUGAGAAUGCCGAUAUGAGUAGCGCAAAUCACGUGAGAACCGUGAUCGCCGUAUGCCUAAGGUUUCCGAUGCAAGGUCAGUCCACAUCGGGUUAGUCGGGCCUAAGCCGAGGCUGAAAAGCGUAGGUGAUGGACAAUCGGUCAACAUUCCGAUACCGGCAUAGGGUGCGAUGGAGUGACGCAGAGUGGUAGGCGAGCCAGACCGCUGGUAGUUCUGGUGCGAACGCCGUAGGGAGAUGAGGUGGCCAGGCAAAUCCGGUCGCUGAUCCUGAAAGCGAAGCGGGUCCCCAAGCCUAAGUCGCCGAGCCAAGCUGCCCAGAAAACCUUCUAAGCACAACCCUAUGUCGCCCGUACCGCAAACCGACACUGGUAGGCGAGGAGAGGAUCCUCAGGCGAACGAGAGAACCCUCGUUAAGGAACUAGGCAAGAUGUACCCGUAACUUAGGGAGAAGGGUAGCCUGCGGAGACGAUGUCAUUCGAUGUUGUCUCUGUGGGUCGCAGAUGAGAGGCUCUAGCGACUGGUUAACUAAACCACAGGUCUCUGCGAAGUCGUAAGACGACGUAUAGGGGCUGACACCUGCCCAGUGCCGGAAGGUUAAAGGGAGCGGUUAGCGCAAGCGAAGCUGCGAACUGAAGCCCCGGUGAACGGCGGCGGUAACUAUAACCGUCCUAAGGUUCAAGCGCGAGCCUUAGUAAAACCGAACUAUAUGCGGGAAACUCCUCAACAGCCGUUCAGUACUCACGAGCAUCCGCUCGACAGUCAAAAGCUGACGGACAUGGGGACGAUCCGCAGGAAAGGCUUCCUAGGAGAACCAUGGAAGAAUCCUCAGAGACUUUACGUUCGGUCUCGCGAACGAAGCUAGAGUCGCAAUGGGUCGUAGGAUUCGUUGACGGCGAGGGGUGUUUCUACGUGGGCAUCAAUCCACAUCCGGAGAUGCGAACAGGAUUCCAGGUCUUGCCUGAAUUCACCGUCGUUCAACAUGAACGCGAUGUGCAAAUCCUGUAUGCGCUCAAAGCCUUCUUCGGAUGCGGCGUGGUGCGACGAAACCACGAUCAGCGCAUGGCGUUUCGUGUAAGAGGGAUUAAACAGCUGAAAGAGCGUGUGAUCCCCUUCUUCGAGCGUCAUCCGCUGAAGACCAAAAAGCGCAUUGAUUUCAUGAGAUUCCGUGAAAUCGUGCGGCGAAUGGAGCGUGGAGAACACCUGACGCCCGAAGGCAUCGAACGAAUCCGCGCCAUCGCGGCUCGGAUGAACACACAGCGAGAAAGAUAAAGUCCGGCUCCCCUGGAAACAGGGCGAGGUGAACCGAGCGAAAUUCCUUGUCAGGUAAGUUCUGACCCGCACGAAUGGUGUAACGACUGGAGCACUGUCUCAACGAGGGACUCGGCGAAAUUGAACUAGUGGUGAAGAUGCCAUUUACCCGCACCCGGACAAAAAGACCCCGUGGAGCUUUACUGUACCCUGGCAUUGCGCUAGGACUUCGUCUGUGUAGGAUAGGUGGGAGGCUUUGAAGCUGGGGCGCUAGCCUCGGUGGAGCCGACGGUGAAAUACCACCCUGAUGGAGUUUUGGCCCUAACCCUGAUCCGUCAUCCGGAUAGGAGACAGUGCCAGGCGGGCAGUUUGACUGGGGUGGUCGCCUCCUAAAAGGUAACGGAGGCGCCCAAAGGUUCCCUCAGGCUGAAUGGAAACCAGCCGUUGAGUGUAAAGGCACAAGGGAGCUUGACUGCAAGACAAACACGUCGAGCAGGGACGAAAGUCGGGCUUAGUGAUCCCACGAUGCUGAGUGGAAAGGUCGUGGCAAUCGGAUAAAAGCUACCCCGGGGAUAACAGGCUAGUGAGGCCCAAGCGUCCACAGCGACGGCCUCGCUCGGCACCUCGAUGUCGGCUCGGCGCAUCCUGGGGCUGGAUAAGGUCCCAAGGGUCGGCCUGUUCGGCCGUUAAAGCGUUACGUGAGCUGGGUUCAAACCGUCGUGAGACAGGUUGGUCUCUAUCCGGUGUGGGCGUAGGGGAUUUGAGAGGAGCUGUCCUUAGUACGAGAGGACCGGGAUGGACGCACCGCUGGUGUGCCAGUUGUUCCGCCAGGAGCACCGCUGGGUAGCCAUGUGCGGCAGGGAUAACCGCUGAAAGCAUCUAAGUGGGAAACCCGCCUCAAGAUGAGAUCCCCCUGAAGGUCGCGAGAAGACUACUCGCUUAAUAGGUGAGAGGUGUAAGCGUUGCAAGACGUUUAGCCGACUCAUACUAAUGACCGUCUGGCUUGCUU
rnacentral:rRNA from 1 species